rnacentral:ncRNA from 1 species
CACGCGUAAAGUGCCAAUGGACGGGAAGUUGCUGUUGGACGAAGAGUUGAGGUUGUAUGACCGGAGAUUCGCGGUGUGCCUUCGCAUCCGCUGU